CUUUGAUUAAUCAAACUAGUUAAGAGAUCAUUUAGUGGUGCGUCUACACAAUAGUCAUUUCUGUUUUUUUUCUUUACUUUCAACCUUUCUUUAGGCUAAAGAGAAGUUUGUUUGUUUUCUUUUCUUUUUCCACUCAUGUGCACAAUGAAGUUUUUAGGGGGUUGCAAGUGUAUAGUUCAUUUAUUUUCUUUCUUGUUUAACAAUUAAUUACACUAUUCCAG
rnacentral:lncRNA from 1 species